CGGAGCGGUGCGCGGCUGUCGGUACCGCGGUCAGCAGAGACAGAGCGCUCUGACAGAUCUCUGUCAGAUGGAUCGCGGCUCAGCCUGUGGGCGACGGGACGGUUCUCACGGCGCCGAGGAGAAGAGCUGCAGAUGGAGCCCAGCAACCGUCCGUCUGCUGCCAGGAAGCACGGAAUGGGUAAAACACACCGUCAGCUGCACCCCACGUUUGUUCUGCUUUCGGUCACUUAAAACUUGCUCGCUGUUGCCAGUGAGAGUUCUCACGCAAG